GAUGAACGCUGGCGGCGUGCCUAAUACAUGCAAGUCGAGCGAACAGACGAGGAGCUUGCUCCUCUGACGUUAGCGGCGGACGGGUGAGUAACACGUGGAUAACCUACCUAUAAGACUGGGAUAACUUCGGGAAACCGGAGCUAAUACCGGAUAAUAUAUUGAACCGCAUGGUUCAAUAGUGAAAGACGGUUUUGCUGUCACUUAUAGAUGGAUCCGCGCCGCAUUAGCUAGUUGGUAAGGUAACGGCUUACCAAGGCGACGAUGCGUAGCCGACCUGGGAGGGUGAUCGGCCACACUGGAACUGAGACACGGUCCAGACUCCUACGGGAGGCAGCAGUAGGGAAUCUUCCGCAAUGGGCGAAAGCCUGACGGAGCAACGCCGCGUGAGUGAUGAAGGUCUUCGGAUCGUAAAACUCUGUUAUUAGGGAAGAACAAAUGUGUAAGUAACUAUGCACGUCUUGACGGUACCAAAUCAGAAAGCCACGGCUAACU
rnacentral:rRNA from 1 species